rnacentral:piRNA from 1 species
UUUCACCUCAUUCUGAGUCUUUGG